rnacentral:misc_RNA from 1 species
GAUGAAGAACGUAGCGAAAUGCGAUAAGUAGUGUGAAUUGCAGAAUUCAGUGAAUCAUCGAAUCUUUGAACGCACAUUGCGCCCCUCGGUAUUCCGUGGGGCAUGCCUGUUCGAGCGUCAUUUAACCCCCCAAGCCUAGCUUGGUAUUGGGUGCUUGUCCCGCCUCUCGCGCGGCGACUCACCUCAAAGUCAUUGGCAGCCCGCAUCUCGCCGGCCGUGAGCGCAGCACAGACGCGCUCUUGGCAACGACGGAUCGGCUCUCCAAAAGCUUAUUUCAACCACUGACCUCGGAUCAGGUAGGGAUACCCGCUGAACUUAAGCAUAUCAAUAAGCGGAGGA